rnacentral:misc_RNA from 1 species
UUCGGUAUCCUGUGUUGCUUACCUAUCGAAAGGAAUCCGAUGGUUUCGUUCGUCCCUUUCCGCCCCCUGCCCUCACGGGUUUUCGGGGUGGACGUCAGGCAAGCCUCGUGUUCCCGGCAUGCUUCGCCCAGCUGCGUCGCUGCCUCGGCCCAUGAGGUGCUUUGCCCGUGCUCUCGGAUGCGGAAUGUUAUGUGCGGGCGUGGGGUCUCUUGGCUCCGUUUGCCCAAGCAACGCAUUUGUCCAUCGACACGAACGACUGCCGUGCCCGUCUUGAGCCCGCGGACGUACGGCCCGUCGGGCCUCAUGCGGGCGUCGGCGUCGCGAAGGAAUGCUACCUGGUUGAUCCUGCCAGUAGUCAUAUGCUUGUCUC